UACGAAGGGGGCUAGCGUUGCUCGGAAUCACUGGGCGUAAAGCGCGCGUAGGCGGAUUGUUAAGUCAGGGGUGAAAUCCUGGAGCUCAACUCCAGAACUGCCUUUGAUACUGAAGAUCUUGAGUUCGGGAGAGGUGAGUGGAACUGCGAGUGUAGAGGUGAAAUUCGUAGAUAUUCGCAAGAACACCAGUGGCGAAGGCGGCUCACUGGCCCGAUACUGACGCUGAGGCACGAAAGCGUGGGGAGCAAACAGG
rnacentral:rRNA from 1 species